GUGGCUGAAGCUCAGUCGGCCGAGCGCCGGAAUGUGACUCCGGAGGCCGCCGGUUCAAGUCCGGCCAGCCACC
rnacentral:tRNA from 1 species